GGGACUGUGGCUCAGUGGUAAAACAUGUGCUUUGCAUGCAGAAGGUCCCAGGUUCAAAAUCCCCGGCAUCUCCU